CCUACGGGAGGCAGCAGUGAGGAAUAUUGGUCAAUGGGCGAGAGCCUGAACCAGCCAAGUCGCGUGAGGGAAGAAGGCCCUGCGUAUUGUAAACCUCUUUUGCCAGGGGACAAAGUCUGCCACGUGUGGCCUUCCGUGUGUACCUUGUGAAAAAGCAUCGGCUAACUCCGUGCCAGCAGCCGCGGUAAUACGGAGGAUUCGAGCGUUAUCCGGAUUUAUUGGGUUUAAAGGGGGCGCAGGCGGCGUGUGAAGUCAGCGGUAAAAUGUCGGGGCUCAACCCCGGCCUGCCGUUGAAACUGGCGUGCUUGAGUGGGAGAGAAGUAGGCGGAAUUCGUGGUGUAGCGGUGAAAUGCAUAGAUAUCACGAAGAACCCCGAUUGCGAAGGCAGCAUACCGGCUUCAGACUGACGCUGAGGCACGAAAGCGUGGGUAUCGAACAGGAUUAGAUACCCUAGUAGUC
rnacentral:rRNA from 1 species